rnacentral:rRNA from 1 species
ACUCCUACGGGAGGCAGCAGUGGGGAAUUUUGGACAAUGGGCGCAAGCCUGAUCCAGCCAUGCCGCGUGCAGGAUGAAGGCCUUCGGGUUGUAAACUGCUUUUGUACGGAACGAAAAGACUCCUUCUAAUAAAGGGGGUCCAUGACGGUACCGUAAGAAUAAGCACCGGCUAACUACGUGCCAGCAGCCGCGGUAAU